rnacentral:rRNA from 1 species
AUUGAACGCUGGCGGCAGGCCUAACACAUGCAAGUCGAGCGGAUGAAGGGAGCUUGCUCCUGGAUUCAGCGGCGGACGGGUGAGUAAUGCCUAGGAGUCUGCCUGGUAGUGGGGGACAACGUCCGGAAACGGGCGCUAAUACCGCAUACGUCCUGAGGGAGAAAGUGGGGGAUCUUCGGACCUCACGCUAUCAGAUGAGCCUAGGUCGGAUUAGCUAGUUGGUGGGGUAAAGGCCUACCAAGGCGACGAUCCGUAACUGGUCUGAGAGGAUGAUCAGUCACACUGGAACUGAGACACGGUCCAGACUCCUACGGGAGGCAGCAGUGGGGAAUAUUGGACAAUGGGCGAAAGCCUGAUCCAGCCAUGCCGCGUGUGUGAAGAAGGUCUUCGGAUUGUAAAGCACUUUAAGUUGGGAGGAAGGGCAGUAAGUUAAUACCUUGCUGUUUUGACGUUACCAACAGAAUAAGCACCGGCUAACUUCGUG